UACGUAGGGUCCGAGCGUUAAUCGGAAUUACUGGGCGUAAAGCGUGCGCAGGCGGUUCGCUAAGACCGAUGUGAAAUCCCCGGGCUUAACCUGGGAACUGCGUUGGUGACUGGCGGGCUAGAGUAUGGCAGAGGGGGGUAGAAUUCCACGUGUAGCAGUGAAAUGCGUAGAGAUGUGGAGGAAUACCGAUGGCGAAGGCAGCCCCCUGGGCCAAUACUGACGCUCAUGCACGAAAGCGUGGGGAGCAAACAGG
rnacentral:rRNA from 1 species